CAUUUUACUCAUCCCAAUUAACUAACCAUAUUUUUAACCUCAUGUUAAUUUUAAUUUUUUUUUUUUUUUUGAGAGAUAGAUAGUACGCUAUCCGCUUCGUUUAUUUUAUUUAAAAAUAAACUUAGCUGAAAAUGUGAAUCAAUCAGGAUUCGAAUUUGGGACCUCCGGUACCAACCAUCGGCCAGUAUUACCUCCCAAAUCCUUAUAAUAAGAAGAAAUUAACCCGGCCCCCUCGCUCCAUCUAUAAAUA
rnacentral:lncRNA from 1 species